GAGUGGCGAACGGGUGAGUAACACGUGGGUGAUCUGCCCUGCACUUCGGGAUAAGCCCGGGAAACUGGGUCUAAUACCGGAUAGUACUGCGCGGUGCAUGCCGUGUGGUGGAAAGAUUUAUCGGUGCAGGAUGGGCCCGCGGCCUAUCAGCUUGUUGGUGGGGUAAUGGCCUACCAAGGCGACGACGGGUAGCCGGCCUGAGAGGGCGACCGGCCACACUGGGACUGAGACACGGCCCAGACUCCUACGGGAGGCAGCAGUGGGGAAUAUUGCACAAUGGGCGCAAGCCUGAUGCAGCGACGCCGCGUGAGGGAUGACGGCCUUCGGGUUGUAAACCUCUUUCAGCAGGGACGAAGCGCAAGUGACGGUACCUGCAGAAGAAGCACCGGCCAACUACGUGCCAGCAGCCGCGGUAAUACGUAGGGUGCAAGCGUUGUCCGGAAUUACUGGGCGUAAAGAGCUCGUAGGCGGUUUGUCGCGUCGUCUGUGAAAACCAGCAGCUCAACUGUUGGCUUGCAGGCGAUACGGGCAGACUUGAGUAUUUCAGGGGAGACUGGAAUUCCUGGUGUAGCGGUGAAAUGCGCAGAUAUCAGGAGGAACACCGGUGGCGAAGGCGGGUCUCUGGGAAAUAACUGACGCUGAGGAGCGAAAGCGUGGGUAGCGAACAGGAUUAGAUACCCUGGUAGUCCACGCCGUAAACGGUGGGCGCUAGGUGUGGGUUUCCUUCCACGGGAUCCGUGCCGUAGCUAACGCAUUAAGCGCCCCGCCUGGGGGAGUACGGCCGCAAGGCUAAAACUCAAAGGAAUUGACGGGGGGCCCGCACAAGCG
rnacentral:rRNA from 1 species